AAAGUUCCCUUCGGGGAGCGAGUAGAGUGGCGCACGGGUGAGUAACACGUAGGUAAUCUACCUUUGGAUUGGGAAUAACACCGAGAAAUCGGUGCUAAUACCGAAUAAUGCAGCGGCACCUAAUGGUGACAGUUGUUAAAGCGGGGGAUCGCAAGACCUCGCGUCUAAAGAGGAGCCUGCGGCGGAUUAGCUAGUUGGUAAGGUAACGGCUUACCAAGGCGAUGAUCCGUAGCCGGCCUGAGAGGGCGGUCGGCCACACUGACACUGACAUACGGGUCAGACUCCUACGGGAGGCAGCAGUCGGGAAUUUUGGGCAAUGGGCGAAAGCCUGACCCAGCAACGCCGCGUGAAGGAUGAAAUCCCUCGGGAUGUAAACUUCGCAAGAACGGGAAGAAUAAGCCGGUGCUAACACCAUCGGCGAUGACGGUACUGUUUGUAAGCUCCGGCUAACUCCGUGCCAGCAGCCGCGGUAAUACGGGGGGAGCAAGCGUUGUUCGGAUUUACUGGGCGUAAAGGGCGCGUAGGCGGCCACCGCAAGUCGACUGUGAAAUCUCCGGGCUUAACUCGGAAAGGUCAGCCGAUACUGCGGGGCUAGAGUGCAGAAGGGGCAACUGGAAUUCUCGGUGAAGCGGUGAAAUGCGUAGAUAUCGAGAGGAACACCUGCGGCGAAGGCGGGUUGCUGGGCUGACACUGACGCUGAUUGUGCGAAAGCUAGGGGAGCGAACGGGAUUAGAUACCCCGGUAGUCCUAGCCUUAAACGAUGAAUGCUUGGUGUCUGGGGUUUUAUAGUCCCCGGGUGCCGUCGCUAACGCUUUAAGCA
rnacentral:rRNA from 1 species